rnacentral:rRNA from 1 species
AAUCUUGUCGGAAUAUGCGAGGACCAUCUCGUAAGGCUAAAUACUACCAAUUGACCGAUAGUGAACCAGUACCGUGAGGGAAAGGUGAAAAGAACCGCGGGAGCGGAGUGAAAAGAUCCUGAAACCUUGUGCUUACAACAAGUUAGAGCCCGUUAAUGGGUGAUAGCGUGCCUUUUGUAGAAUGAACCGGCGAGUUAUGUUAACGUGCAAGGUUAAGCUUUGAGGAGCGGAGCCGUAGCGAAAGCGAGUUUUAACCGGCGUAUAAGUACGUUGACAUAGACCCGAAACUGGGUGAGCUAGCCAUGAGCAGGUUGAAGUUGGGGUAAGACCCAAUGGAGGACCGAACCAGGACACGUUGAAAAGUGUUUGGAUGACUUGUGGCUAGAGGUGAAAUUCCAAUCGAACCCAGAGAUAGCUGGUUCUCACCGAAAUAGCUUUCGGGCUAGCGUUGAAGUUAAGUGGUAUGCAGGUAGAGCACUGAAUGGUUGAUGGUCCCAUCCCGGGAUACUGAUAUCAAUCAAACUCCGAAUGGCAUACUUACAUAUACAGCAGUCAGACUACGGGUGAUAAGGUCCGUGGUCGAGAGGGAAACAGCCCAGACCGCCAGUUAAGGUCCCUAAAUUUAUGUUAAGUGGGAAAGGAUGUGGAGUUGUACAGACAACUAGGAGGUUGGCUUAGAAGCAGCCACCCUUUAAAGAGUGCGUAAUAGCUCACUAGUCGAAUGAUUCUGCGCCGAAGAUGUACCGGGGCUAAACAUGAUACCGAAACUGCGGAUCCGUAAGGAUGGUAGCUGAGCGUUCUUAUUGCGGAGAAGUCUGAUCGUAAGGACAGGUGGAGCGAUAAGAAGUGAGAAUGCCGGUGUGAGUAAUGAAAAGUAGGGUGAGAAUCCCUACCGUCAAAAGUCUAAGGUUUCCAGAGGAAGGUUCGUCCGCUCUGGGUUAGUCUGGGCCUAAGGUGAGGCUGAAAAGCGUAGCCGAUGGAUAACGGGUUGAUAUUCCCGUACCACCUUGUGAACUGAUGGAGUGACGGAGAAAGAUAGCAUGAGCACCUUAGUGGAUUGGUGUUUAAGCGUUUAGGCCGAGAUAUAGGUAAAUCCGUAUCUCGUUGAAGGCUGAGGCGUGACGACGAAAGUCAUGUGAAUCUAUGCUUCCAAGAAAAGCUUCUAGGGUUAAUUUAUAAGGUGCCAGUACCGUAAACCGACACAGGUAGACGAGGAGAGAAUCUAAAGACGCGCGAGAUAACUCUUGUUAAGGAACUCGGCAAAAUGACCCCGUAACUUCGGGAUAAGGGGAGCUCUACAAUGUAGAGCCGCAGAGAAUAGGCCCAAGCGACUGUUUAUCAAAAACACAGCUCUAUGCUAAAUCGCAAGAUGAUGUAUAUGGGGUGACGCCUGCCCAGUGCUGGAAGGUUAAGAGGAGUACUUAUCUUCGGAGAAGGUACGAAUUGAAGCCCCAGUGAACGGCGGCCGUAACUAUAACGGUCCUAAGGUAGCGAAAUUCCUUGUCGGGUAAGUUCCGACCCGCACGAAAGGCGUAAUGAUUUGGAUACUGUCUCGGAGAGGGGCUCGGUGAAAUAGACUUGUCUGUGAAGAUGCGGACUACCUGCACCUGGACAGAAAGACCCUAUGAAGCUUUACUGUAACUUGAAAUUGAAAUUGGACUUUA